rnacentral:sRNA from 1 species
CUUUACCUUAAAUAUUUUAAAGACUUUUACUUGAGGAAAAACAACAAUUCACCGAACAGUAUCGUUGUCUGCAUGGAGACUACCUUGCGCUGCAAAAUGAAUUAGAAAGAAUAAAAAUGUGCGCCUUCAGAUUUAGCAAUUCUGGACCUUCUUCGAAUAUUUCAGAAAAAUCGAUGCCUCAGCGCAUUGAAUUAAUUCGAAGCACAUCAUUGCGCGUUUCACAGAAGAGCAGUUCUUUACAAUGUGAUGACACAUCCCAAGAAGCAUCUGUUUCGACAAAUCAUCUGUGAGGUUACUCGCUAAACAUGAUCAUCAAGCAAUAAAGUAUAGUAACUUAGUUAUUUAGGAAAGCUGUGUAGCGCGCCACUUCUUGGGAUAUUCACCAUUGAAAACUCCAUAACAAUACACUGUCGACGAAUGUGAAUCACAUGUAUAAUACCUACUUAAUUAAUUUGAGUAUAUUAACUAGUUGUGUUCUAAGUUGAGUUCAUAACCAACUAAAUGUGGGUAUAUGUAUACAUAUCUUAUAUUUAUCUAUGCAUAUAUAUAUGUACCAACUAUACAUACAAAUUAAAAUAUUUUUAGUACACAUAUUUAUUUUUUGACAAUGAUCGUUUUAUGGUAAAUAUAUACUAUAUACGUAUCAAAGCAAAAUAUAUUACUUUCAAAUUAGAUUAGCAAGCAUUCAUAAAAAAUGUAUAUUUAUAGCAAAAAAAAUCAAAAUAUGGAUAUAAAAAGACACAAUUUUAAUUAAACGCAAUAGUGAAAGUAUAAAGAUUGUGUAUCUUCAGAACCACGUAAACAGGGGGUGUAUGCAGACUUUUGUCCGCCCCUGUAUGUAUUUUAGGAUUGCAUGUAUACCAAAAAAUGUGGCAAAAGUUCAAAGAUUAAUUAAAUAUUUAUGAACACAUGAUUAAUUUAAAUUUUGAGCUAAAAAAAUGGUUUUGUGAAAGCAAACCUCACAAUAUAAAAUCGGUGUUUGUUUCUUUAAUUUCAAUAUUUUGAAAGAAGAUUGCAAUUAUUUUAUUGAAAAGAAUGGAGGUACUACUUUUUGUUUAUGCGGCUGUUGGUGAGGAGGAAGCAGUAAAAAGGAGGCGGAUCCUAAAGGCUCUGCGGGAUAAGAGCGAUCCUUUUAACUUGCAAGACUUUUUAUUUAUUCAAAUGUUUAGAUUUCCAAAAAAGUUAUGUCGAGUCCUUAUUGAACAAUUAGUGUGACAUGAUAAGCAAAAGUCGAGCCUGCAUUUUACUCUACGAUUCCUGGCCGGAUUAUAUUUUUCCGGGCAUGGCUCAUACCAGAAAUGCGUAGGGAAUAGUUACUUAUUUUCAAUGAGUCAGUCUUCGGCUCUCAACUACAUUGUAUGCGAUCAUCGACUUAUGUUCACCACUGUCAAUGCGGGAUAUUCCGGAUCUUGCCAUGACUCUAGGAUUUGGAACACAUCUCCAACACGUAUGCGCUUAACAAGUGCACAAAGUGAUUGAUUGCCUGCCGCAGAACCAUCAAAUGUAAGGGAAGUGCGUUGCAACAAGUUGCACGCCCAAGAGAGAGCCUUCGGUAUUUUGAAGUCAAGUUUCCGGUCUCUCUCAAAACACCGCAUUCUACAUUACAGCCCUGAUUACUUACGCUUGUACAAUUCUUCACAAAAUUUUGCUGAAAGAGACCUUGGUUUCGAAAAACUUUUAGUAGAAUCGGAGACAUAGACAUUGCCUUCCAAGUUGCAAAAAAUGCCAAUUUUAGGGAAGGUGCUAGAAUUAGAGAGCGCUACAUCUCGUCUUUGUGAUAGACAUUCCAAAAGCGUUAUUCAUUAUAAACAUACGUAAUGUAUGUACUAUAUGUA